UCCACCAGGUUUUUGUAGUUUUUUAAAUGUCGGCAGCUUCAGAGUUCCUACUGCCGGUGCGAAUGCAACUACGAAAAUGGCCGGGGGAGGAAAUUAGUUCUUGGGAGCUAUCCUAGUGGCUAGUUCCUAUAACUGAGUUCUUAGAACUACCCGGUGCGAACGCCUCUUAUGUGAAGAUCAGAAGCUCUAGAACAGCUCCAGUGUGUUUGGUGCUGCUGUGUGUUCUUCUGCUGACUGCAGUCAUAGUGCUGUGUGUCAAGUUCACUCAAGAGAGAAAGCAGCUCAUUAUCAUGAAUGAGAAUCUGACUAGAGAGAGUUAGACCAGCUUAAAUGGGAUAAACAUGAUCUUCAGAUGAGUCUUGGUGAAAUGGGUGAGUUUCUUUGGAUAUUUUAGUAGUUGCUACAUUGCAGGAAUAUGAUCUGGUUAGUAUUCAUAGGUAUUUGUAUGUAAAUGUUAGGAUCAUUAAUAACCACUUUAUGGAAUUCAUAGAUGAUUUUAGGUGUGUAGGUACAAUCCCUAUGAAUACUAAUGAGAUUGUGUUCAUAGCUUACACUUUUUAAAGGUGCCCUAGAAUACUAUUUCACAAGAUGUAGUAUAAGUCUAAGGUGUCCCCAGAAUGUGUCUGUGAAGUUUCAGCUCAAAAUACCCCAUAGAUUUUUUAUGACACCAUGUUUUAACUGCCUGUUUUGGAGUGUGAUUAAAAAUGCGCAGAUUCAGUGCGUGUACACCUUUAAAUGCUCGUGCUCCCCGCCCCCAAGCUCACGACUCUCAUUUAUACAGAGCAUAAACAAUAGAAUAAGUUCACACAGCUAAUAUAACUCUCAAAAUGGAUCUUUACAAAGUGUUUGUGAUGCAGCAUAUCAGAUCACAUGAAUAGAUUUACUAUCCUCUCCUCUGAGGAGAAGAGCUGGACUGAGAGCAGAUACUGUACAGAGAGAGGAACAGAUCUGACCAUCAUAAACAACAGAGAGGAACAAGUUAAAAAGAAGAAAUGUCUGAUGGUAUUUAUGACGAUGUGGUCAGGACAGAGCCUGAGGGAAUGAACAGAGAGCGAGUGGAGAUGAUGGUGGAAAUCUAUGAGGGUGCAGAUUGUGUGAGAGAUCAUGACUUCAGGACAAACACAC